GACGAACCGUGCGAACGUUGUUCGGAAUCACUGGGCUUAAAGGGCGCGUAGGCGGCCUGUCAAGUCUGGGGUGAAAUGCCACGGCUCAACCGUGGAACUGCCUCAGAUACUGACGGCCUCGAGGAAGGUAGGGGCAUGCGGAACUGUAGGUGGAGCGGUGAAAUGCGUUGAUAUCUACAGGAACUCCGGUGGCGAAAGCGGCGUGCUGGACCUUUUCUGACGCUGAGGCGCGAAAGCCAGGGGAGCAAACGGG
rnacentral:rRNA from 1 species